AGUGUGAAGGAGCAGAGAAAGCCGUGAUUUGUUUCAAUACCUUCUGCUUGUGCAAUUUUUGCUUCUUUCUAAAGGGGAACUUGGGCACGUUGUUGCGGUUGGAACAAGAAAGUGUCGAUGAGUUAAGCAUUUGAGGUUGAGCUGUGACGAGCACGGUGGGUGUUGAGCAGAGCUGGUAAAGAUUUGUGUUUGCUUUUAAUAUUCCGAAUAUAUUGUGUCUUCAUACAUAAUAUUAUUCUUCUCUCGAAAUGCUUCCGCUAAAUAUUGUUUCUUUUGAGUUCGUGUAUUGUUGAGAUAUUUUCAUUUGGAGUUGUCGAUUGU